rnacentral:rRNA from 1 species
AACGCGAAGAACCUUACCUGGCCUUGACAUCCUCGGAACCCUGCAGAGAUGCGGGGGUGCCUUCGGGAACCGAGAGACAGGUGCUGCAUGGCUGUCGUCAGCUCGUGUCGUGAGAUGUUGGGUUAAGUCCCGCAACGAGCGCAACCCUUGUCCUUAGUUGCCAGCACUUCGGGUGGGCACUCUAAGGAGACCGCCGGUGACAAACCGGAGGAAGGUGGGGAUGACGUCAAGUCAUCAUGGCCUUUAUGGCCAGGGCUACACACGUGCUACAAUGGCCGGUACAAAGGGCAGCCAACCCGCGAGGGGGAGCUAAUCCCAUAAAGCCGGUCGUAGUCCGGAUCGGAGUCUGCAACUCGACUCCGUGAAGUCGGAAUCGCUAGUAAUCGCAGAUCAGCAUUGCUGCGGUGAAUACGUUCCCGGGCCUUGUACACACCGUAGUAC